GAAAAUCAUAUUUUAACAUCUUGUGGACGUGCCGGAGUGGUUAUCGGGCAUGACUAGAAAUCAUGUGGGUUCGCCCGCGCAGGUUCGAAUCCUGCCGUCCACGAAUUCUAGUACUUUUUUCUCUAUAAAUAGACAAGAGCACUGAGGACUUCCUUCCCUUUUCUCUUUUUUUUCCUUCCUCCUGGACUUUCGCAUCUCCUUUCAGCUCUCUCAACGUUCAAAAUCAAGCAUGGAUGGUUUUGUGCCUUCGAUUUCGAUCCAGACAAUUUCCAGCUAAGUCAUGGGAUAUAUUUGUGCCCAUAUAUAUUUGCUAAGCAAGGAACUUCGGUCACAAGCCUCAUCAGGAGCAGUCCUAAAACCCAUCCACAUGUAAGAUCCAUAGUCUGUUCGACGAGGACCAACUGUUCUGUUGUGAUGGGAGAGGUGUUUAUGUUCGGUUAGAGCAUGAAGAAGUACAGUCUGGAGACUGCUCCGCUGCAGGAGGAUUAACUGAUUAAGUAUAAUGUUAAACCUCAAUAGUUUUAGGCAAACCAGGCAAAUUGGUUUUGUACGAGUCCUCACAUCGUUUUUUAUUAUAUAUAUAUAUAUAUAUAGCUUCUUUAAA